AUAAGAGAGUCAAAACAGGAGGUGCCAAACUAUGAGAGAGUGAGAUGAAUUGCAUUGAGUUAUUAGUAGAGAAUAUCAGAGAGUGAUUUGUAUGUAUAGGAAAUUUAGGGAGUCUACGUAUGGCGAUGAUGGGUGAAUAGUAAGAUUGAUAAUAAAAAGGAAUCAUUCUUAGUUUAGAAAGAUCAUUGAUUGAGCGUUUUGGAAUUUGAUGAAAAACUUUAAGAGAAUAAGUAUUGGAAUUAGAGGGAGUUUAUAUUUAUGAAGUUGUUCUUGAAGAAGUUGAUGAUGAAAACAUGACAAUAAAGAUGUAUUAUUGAUGGUGGUGAUUGAAACUUGAUCAACUACUCAAGAAAACAGAAGAAAUGAAGAGCCCGAAGAUAUCCGUUUCAUAGCUUAGAGCUUUAUUGAAUCUAGUGAUGUGGUGUAUCUUUUACUACAUGUAUUCUUUCUUCUGUAAACAACAAAUUAAUACGAUCUUAGAAUUCGAAAUACUUUCAUUUUUAUAAUAUCACGGGGUUUGGGUUU